CUACCCGGGUAUCUAAUCCUGUUUGCUCCCCACGCUUUCGUGCAUGAGCGUCAAUCUUGACCCAGGGGGCUGCCUUCGCCAUCGGUGUUCCUCCACAUCUCUACGCAUUUCACUGCUACACGUGGAAUUCUACCCCCCUCUGCCAGAUUCUAGCCUUGCAGUCUCCAUCGCAAUUCCCAGGUUGAGCCCGGGGAUUUCACGACAGACUUACAAAACCGCCUGCGCACGCUUUACGCCCAGUAAUUCCGAUUAACGCUUGCACCCUACGUAUUACCGCGGCUGCUGGCAC
rnacentral:rRNA from 1 species